CCACACUGGAACUGAGACACGGUCCAGACUCCUACGGGAGGCAGCAGUGGGGAAUAUUGCACAAUGGGCGCAAGCCUGAUGCAGCCAUGCCGCGUGUGUGAAGAAGGCCUUCGGGUUGUAAAGCACUUUCAGCGGGGAGGAAGGCGGUGAGGUUAAUAACCUCAUCGAUUGACGUUACCCGCAGAAGAAGCACCGGCUAACUCCGUGCCAGCAGCCGCGGUAAUACGGAGGGUGCAAGCGUUAAUCGGAAUUACUGGGCGUAAAGCGCACGCAGGCGGUCUGUCAAGUCGGAUGUGAAAUCCCCGGGCUC
rnacentral:rRNA from 1 species